UGACGAGGGGUCUGGCCGUAGGUUUUUAUCAUGGUUUCCAGUGCUCGUCUCUGAACUGGAUCUUCAACUGCAGAGACAUCCAUUCCAAAAUAUGUCUGAAGAAUAAAAGAAAACGAGAGGUUUCCACAUACAUUGCUGAACCUGACUAGAACCUGGCAGUGAGAAGGCUGUAAUGUGAGGUAUAUCCUUCCAGCCUCCCUCAGCCAACCAGGCAAAGCUGUCAACGGAGGAAGCGGGACAGCUUCACCUCCCCGGCAAGGGGCAGAAGACUGGAUGAGAAACAAAGUCAAGAGCAUGCUUCCUUUGGCCCACUGAGCAGAUCGUAAGAGUUCACAGAAACAGCUAUUGUGUGCUAUAACCUGGAGAAGGAGCAGCGAGAGGAUAGUAACACCGUUGCUCACCUGCUGACUUACCCCUCACAGAGCUACAUGGAUUAACGCUAUCUAUCCUAACUGAAUCUGAGAUCUUUCAACUUUACCCUUCCACCGCUUUAUAUCAUAUUGAAAAACAAGCAGAAAAUCAUUGCCCACUAAUUCCAAUAUUCCAGUUAUCAAAUCUUCAAAUGCAUCAAGUGAGAAAAUAUCUCAAUUGUAAACCU